AACUACACUAAAAUAUUGGGUCCAAUCAAUUAGUUAGUCUAACCCAUGACCUUAUAAACCCAUAUGUUCUCUCUUAUUUUUUCAAUGUAGGACUCUUAACAGAAUAAAGUUCAUCGUUAUGAUGGACCAUAUCUUGGUUUUGAGAUUAGCAUGUAAGGAAUACAUGUCAACCUGGAGAAGACUGAAGCAAUUCUGCCUAAGACAAUAACAAAGAUUAGGAUCUUUUACAAACUAGCAUUGUGUUAUAAGUGCCUUAUCUGGAAUUUCAAAACCAUUGCAGCACCGCUCCGUUGUUGCCUAAUGAAAGGUAUGCUCCAGUGGAGUAAAUACUAAAUACCACGAAAGCAGCUUAGGUAGAUAUAAUUAUGAAAAGUGAGAUACUUAUUAAAAGAGAAAAGGAACAGCAAAGUGAGUAACACUUUCUAAGAGACUUUGGUCAGUAUGAUUAUGAACAGUGAUAUACCAUAAUAGAGUUCACUAAAAUUAAAUAACAAGAAACAUAGCAAUGUAGAGAUAUGGCUAUAGAUUAAAUAAGUCAUAUGU